AGGGCCCGGAAGGAGGCGGCGCUGGCCCUCGGGGGAUGGGGCCAGGCGGAAGGCGUGACCUCCCCUCGGGGAAACUUGGAAAAUAGAGGGAAAGUGGAGGAGGCACCCAGAGUUCCACCACUUGAACAUAAUUUUCCAUGUUUGUUCAUUCUCUUCAGGUGUGUUUUCAUAGGGAUGUUUCAUAUUUAGUUUCCUUAAUUCAUUCAACAAGUAUUAGUAAGUGCCCUCCAUAUGCCAGGCACUGUCCAGUGAACAGAACAAGCCCAAGCCGCCUGCCUUUGUGGAGUAUACAUUCUAGCAGGUAAUUGUGUAUAAAAUUUUAGUUCAUAAUCAUAGUCAACGAUGGUGCUUUUCAUUUCCUGAUUCACACUACUUAUUUUCCAUGUUACUGCAGACUCAUCAUAAUGAUCAUUUUUAAUCUAUGGACUGCUUCUUCCAGAGGGUAUGCCAUGAUUUCCCUGACCUCAUCUGAUUGCUUCUAGUUUGGGGAUCCUAUGCAUAAUCUUUGAUACAACAUUUUAGUUCAUUUCCUGGAUUGAGAUUACUAAGCCACACCACCUUGUUCUUCCAAAUAGAGAAAGGUGAAUAAUAAGACAAUUUGA